rnacentral:snRNA from 1 species
AGCUUUGCGCAGUGGCAGUACCGUAGCCAAUGAGGCUUAACCGAGGCACGAUUAUUGCUGAUUGAAAAUAAAUUUGCAUUUUUCACAAGGUGCAAACGCUGACCUACCCCCGUCAUUGGGU